rnacentral:rRNA from 1 species
AGUAACGGCGAGUGAAGCGGUAACAGCUCAAAUUUGAAAGCUAGCUCUUUUAGGGUUCGCAUUGUAAUUUGUAGAGGAUGUUUUGGGUACCGCCCCGGUCUAAAUUUCUUGGAACAGAAUGUCAGAGAGGGUGAGAAUCCCGUCUUGGACCGGCGGUAGGGCCUGUGUAAAACUCCUUCGACGAGUCGAGUUGUUUGGG